UUAAAUGCUUUGAAGGAAUUGAAGUAGUGGUAUCCUCCCUGUUACAGAGAGCUGGUGGUGCUGAAAACCAGUACAAAGGAGAUCAUGAAUUACGUUUCUGGAGCUUCUUAUUUCUUUUCUGAAAUAAGACGGUUUAGCCGUUAUUCUGUGAAGUGGUAAGUUCUAUACUUACAAUCAGGGUGGUACCGCGAAUAAAUUCGUCCCUGCU
rnacentral:ncRNA from 1 species